CGAAGCUGGCGGCGUGCUUAGCACAUGCAAGUCGAACGAUGAACCUCCUUCGGGAGGGGAUUAGUGGCGAACGGGUGAGUAACACGUGGGCAAUCUGCCCUUCACUCUGGGACAAGCCCUGGAAACGGGGUCUAAUACCGGAUACGACCACCGACCGCAUGGUCUGGUGGUGGAAAGCUCCGGCGGUGAAGGAUGAGCCCGCGGCCUAUCAGCUUGUUGGUGGGGUGAUGGCCUACCAAGGCGACGACGGGUAGCCGGCCUGAGAGGGCGACCGGCCACACUGGGACUGAGACACGGCCCAGACUCCUACGGGAGGCAGCAGUGGGGAAUAUUGCACAAUGGGCGAAAGCCUGAUGCAGCGACCCCGCGUGAGGGAUGACGGCCUUCGGGUUGUAAACCUCUUUCAGCAGGGAAGAAGCGAAAGUGACGGUACCUGCAGAAAAGCCC
rnacentral:rRNA from 1 species